rnacentral:rRNA from 1 species
CNNCUUGCUGNUUCGCUGACGAGUGGCGGAUAGGGUGGAUGAUGUCUGGGAAACUGCCUGAUGGAGGGGGAUAACUANUGGAAACAGUAGCUAAUACCGCAUAACGUCGCAAGACCAAAGAGGGGGACCUUCGGGCCUCUUGCCAUCGGAUGUGCCCAGAUGGGAUUAGCUAGUAGGUGGGGUAACGGCUCACCUAGGCGACGAUCCCUAGCUGGUCUGAGAGGAUGACCAGCCACACUGGAACUGAGACACGGUCCAAACUCCUACGGGAGGCACGCAGUGGGGAAUAUUGCACAAUGGGCGCAAGCCUGAUGCAGCCAUGCCGCGUGUAUGAAGAAGGCCUUCGGGUUGUAUAGUACUUUCAGCGGGGAGGAAGGGAGUAAAGUUAAUACCUUUGCUCAUUGACGUUACCCGCAUAAGAAGCACCGGCUAACUCCGUGCCAGCAGCCGCGGUAAUACGGAGGGUGCAAGCGUUAAUC